GCUGGGCUUGAUGGUGCGUGCCUAUAGUCCCAGCUACUCGGGAGGCUGAGGAUGCAGGAUCGCUUGAGCCCAUGAGUUCUGGGCUGUAGUGCGCUAUGCCGAUUGGGUGUCCGCACUAAGUUCGGCAUCAAUAUGGUGACCUCCCAGGAGCGGGGGACCACCAGGUUGCCUAAGGAGGGGUGAACUGGCCCAGGUCAGAAACAGAGCAGGUUGAAACUCCUGUGCUGAUCAGUAGUGGGAUCACGCCUGUGAAUAGCCACUGCACCCUACCCAGGACAACAUAGCAAGACCCCGUCUCU
rnacentral:SRP_RNA from 1 species